rnacentral:rRNA from 1 species
UACGGAGGGUGCGAGCGUUGUUCGGAAUCACUGGGCGUAAAGCGCGUGUAGGCGGCCUUUUAAGUCUGAUGUGAAAGCCCGGGGCUCACCCCCGGAAGUGCAUUGGAAACUGGGAGGCUAGAGUACCGGAGAGGAAGGUGGAAUUCCUGGUGUAGCGGUGAAAUGCGUAGAUAUCAGGAGGAACACCGGUGGCGAAGGCGGCCUUCUGGGCCAACACUGACGCUCAUGCACGAAAGCGUGGGGAGCAAACAGG